GAUGAACGCUGGCGGCGUGCCUAAUACAUGCAAGUCGAGCGAACGGACGAGAAGCUUGCUUCUCUGAUGUUAGCGGCGGACGGGUGAGUAACACGUGGAUAACCUACCUAUAAGACUGGGAUAACUUCGGGAAACCGUAGCUAAUACCGGAUAAUAUUUUGAACCGCAUGGUUCAAAAGUGAAAGACGGUCUUGCUGUCACUUAUAGAUGGAUCCGCGCUGCAUUAGCUAGUUGGUAAGGUAACGGCUUACCAAGGCAACGAUGCAUAGCCGACCUGAGAGGGUGAUCGGCCACACUUGAACUGAGACACGGUCCAGACUCCUACGGGAGGCAGCAGUAGGGAAUCUUCCGGAAUGGGCGAAAGCCUGACGGAGCAACGCCGCGUGAGUGAUGAAGGUCUUCGGAUCGUAAAACUCUGUUAUUAGGGAAGAACAUAUGUGUAAGUAACUGUGCACAUCUUGACGGUACCUAAUCAGAAAGCCACGGCUAACUACGUG
rnacentral:rRNA from 1 species